AUUGAACGCUGGCGGCAUGCCUUACACAUGCAAGUCGAACGGCAGCACGGGAGCAAUCCUGGUGGCGAGUGGCGAACGGGUGAGUAAAGUAUCGGAACGUGCCCAGUCGUGGGGGAUAACGUAGCGAAAGUUACGCUAAUACCGCAUACGAUCUAUGGAUGAAAGCGGGGGAUCGCAAGACCUCGCGCGAUUGGAGCGGCCGAUAUCAGAUUAGGUAGUUGGUGGGGUAAAGGCUCACCAAGCCGACGAUCUGUAGCUGGUCUGAGAGGACGACCAGCCACACUGGGACUGAGACACGGCCCAGACUCCUACGGGAGGCAGCAGUGGGGAAUUUUGGACAAUGGGCGAAAGCCUGAUCCAGCCAUGCCGCGUGCAGGAUGAAGGCCUUCGGGUUGUAAACUGCCUUUGUACGGAACGAAAAGGUUUGGGCUAAUAAGCUGAGCUCAUGACGGUACCGUAAGAAUAAGCACCGGCUAACUACGUGCCAGCCGCCGCUGUAA
rnacentral:rRNA from 1 species